UACAGAGGGUGCGAGCGUUAAUCGGAAUUACUGGGCGUAAAGCGCACGUAGGUGGAUAUUUAAGUCGGAUGUGAAAGCCCUGGGCUUAACCUGGGAAUUGCACCCGAUACUGGAUAUCUUGAGUAUGGUAGAGGGUAGUGGAAUUUCCGGUGUAGCGGUGAAAUGCGUAGAUAUCGGAAGGAACACCAGUGGCGAAAGCGGCUACCUGGACCAAUACUGACACUUAGGUGUGAAAGCGUGGGGAGCAAACAGG
rnacentral:rRNA from 1 species